AAUAAAAUGAAUACACGUGUGAAAAAUACACAAACGCAUGCAAGUAAAACUGAUGAACUCUGAGUAAGAUUAAUGAAUUGUAUCAAUGUCAAUUUCCUGGUUGUGAUAUUAUGGCAAUAAUUGUAUAAGAUGUACUAUUAAGUGAAAGGUAUAUGAAUCUACAAUUAUCUCAAAAUAAAAAGCUUUUAAAAUGUAGUUACCAUGAAGAGAAGAGGACAGGGUGAUGGAACCUGGUUGUUUAGCAGGGUGCCAGUGGAAGCAGUUCUCCCGCCUUACCGUUCAUUUGAGGCUCAGUUUCCACAAAGUACUCAUUUAAAAAGCCAGGAAUCUUAAAUAUAGAGAGAGGCUAGAUAUGGUGGCUCACACCUUUAAUCUCAGCACUUUGGGAGGCCGAGGUGGGCGGAUCACUUGAGGUCAGGAGUUUGAGACCAGCCUGGCCAACAUGGUGAAACGCCGUCUCUACUAAAAAUAUAAAAAUUAGCUGGGCGUGGUGGCAUGCACCUGUAAUCCCAGCUACUCGUUUGUUUGCUAUAACCUAUCGGCUGCUUUUUCUCUUUUUCUCUAUGGCCAUUAUAUAGCUUUGGAGUAAUUCAUUUUGUGAUGGCCUCUUGUCUGGUCUUCAGGCUUCCACACUCAGCAUCUCCCCAACCCCGCAGUGGACUCUCGUCAGAGCAGCAGUGGGAACGGGCACUCUUGACAUGUUAUCCACUCCUGGGCCUGUGUGCCUUCCCCCAGCCUGAGGCACUCCUUCCUCAGAAAUCUCAGCUUCCUCAGGCCCUGCUCACAUUCCACCUUCUCUGGCCACACAACUCGAAGCAUGGAGUCCCCACCCUCUGCUGCACUCCCCUCUCCACCUCAGCUGGCCUGCCUUUCUCCAUCCACCUCAGCAAAUUUGCUGUUUCCUUAUUAAUGUAUUCUCUCUCUCUCCUUCCCAACAGAAGGUAAGCCCACUGAGGGAAGACUUCAGUCUAUUUUGUUCCCUCCGGUGCCAACUGGGAUGGGUGCCUGGCACACAGGGGGCCUUCAGGAAAUACCGAUUGACCUUUCACCUGCUUCCUUAGCCUUUUUCUGGCUCUGGGCCCCAGAGUCCUCAUCCCUAUACUUAGCCCCCAAGAAGAGAAAG
rnacentral:lncRNA from 1 species